UUUCAAUUCGCUCAGCUCUCG
ensembl:piRNA 21ur-11362 ncRNA